rnacentral:rRNA from 1 species
UACGUAGGGUGCAAGCGUUGUCCGGAAUUAUUGGGCGUAAAGAGCUCGUAGGCGGUUUGUCACGUCUGCUGUGAAAACUCGGGGCUUAACCCCGAGCUUGCAGUGGAUACGGGCAGACUAGAGGUAGGUAGGGGAGAAUGGAAUUCCCGGUGUAGCGGUGAAAUGCGUAGAUAUCUGGAGGAACACCUGAGGUGAAGACGGGUUGCUGGGCCAACACUGACGCUGAGGCGCGAAAGCGUGGGGAGCGAACAGG